rnacentral:rRNA from 1 species
UUAGGAAUUUUGCGCAAUGGGCGAGAGCCUGACGCAGCAACGCCGCGUGAGGGAUGAAGGCCUUCGGGUUGUAAACCUCUUUUAGUGGGGACGAAUACAAUGACGGUACCCGCAGAAAAAGCACCGGCGAACUCUGUGCCAGCAGCCGCGGUAAUACAGAGGGUGCAAGCGUUAUUCGGAUUUAUUGGGCGUAAAGGGCGCGUAGGCGGUUUGUUAAGUCUGAUGUGAAAGCCCUGGACUUAAUUCAGGAAGUGCAUCGGAUACUGGCAGACUUGAGCGUAGGAGAGGAGAGUGGAAUUCCAGGUGUAGAGGUGAAAUUCGUAGAUAUCUGGAGGAACAACAGUGGCGAAGGCGACUCUCUGGACUACUGCUGACGCUGAGGCGCGAAAGCGUGGGGAGCAAACAGG